rnacentral:rRNA from 1 species
AGAUUGAACGCUGGCGGCAUGCCUUACACAUGCAAGUCGAACGGCAGCACGGGAGCAAUCCUGGUGGCGAGUGGCGAACGGGUGAGUAAUAUAUCGGAACGUGCCCAGUCGUGGGGGGAUAACGCAGCGAAAGCUGUGCUAAUACCGCAUACGAUCUAUGGAUGAAAGCGGGGGAUCGCAAGACCUCGCGCGAUUGGAGCGGCCGAUAUCAGAUUAGCUAGUUGGUGGGGUAAAAGCCUACCAAGGCGACGAUCUGUAGCUGGUCUGAGAGGACGACCAGCCACACUGGAACUGAGACACGGUCCAGACUCCUACGGGAGGCAGCAGUGGGGAAUUUGGACAAUGGGCGCAAGCCUGAUCCAGCAAUGCCGCGUGCAGGAUGAAGGCUUCGGUUGUAAACUGCUUUUGUACGAACGAACGGUUCUCGUCUAAUACAGGGCUAAGUGACGUACCGUAAGAAUAAGACACCGCAA